rnacentral:rRNA from 1 species
CGAACGGGUGAGUAACACGUGGGUAAUCUGCCCUCGGCACUGGGAUAGCCCGGGGAAACCCGGAUUAAUACCGGAUGGCCUUUCGAGCUCUCGGGCUCGUGAGAAAAGGUGGCUUCGGCUUCCGGCUGAGGAUGAGCCCGCGGCGGAUUAGCUUGUUGGUGGGGUAAUGGCCCACCAAGGCGACGAUCCGUAGCUGGUCUGAGAGGACGAUCAGCCACACUGGGACUGAGACACGGCCCAGACUCCUACGGGAGGCAGCAGUAGGGAAUCUUGCGCAAUGGGCGAAAGCCUGACGCAGCGACGCCGCGUGCGGGAAGAAGGCCUUCGGGUUGUAAACCGCUUUCAGGAGGGACGAAGCCACUCGGGCUAAUACCCCAGAGGGUGACGGUACCUCCAGAAGAAGCCCCGGCUAACUACGUGCCAGCCGCCGCGG